GUGAGGAAUAUUGCGCAAUGGAGGCAACUCUGACGCAGCCAUGCCGCGUGCAGGAAGAAGGCGCUACGCGUUGUAAACUGCUUUUAACCGGGAAGAAACCCCAGGACGUGUCCUGGGUUGACGGUACCGGAGGAAUAAGCACCGGCUAACUUCGUGCCAGCAGCCGCGGUAAUACGAAGGGUGCAAGCGUUAUCCGGAUUCAUUGGGUUUAAAGGGUGCGUAGGCGGAGCGUUAAGUCAGUGGUGAAAUCCUGCAGCUUAACUGUAGACUUGCCAUUGAUACUGGCGCUCUUGAGUGGGCUUGAAGUGGGCGGAAUGUGCCGUGUAGCGGUGAAAUGCUUAGAUAUGGCACAGAACACCAAUUGCGAAGGCAGCUCACUAAGGCGAUACUGACGCUGAGGCACGAAAGCGUGGGGAUCGAACAGGAUUAGAAACCCGGGUAGUCC
rnacentral:rRNA from 1 species